AAAACAAAGACAAAGUCGAGGAUCGACGAUAAGGACGACGAGGACGAGGACGGGGACAAAGGACGCACAUUUGAUAGAUGCCAAUCGUAGCGAGCAGCCAUGCUCGACGUAGACGCGAGGCUCGAAGGCUAACGUUAGCGCAUAGUUGCGAGGACGCCCGCGAGUCAGCCAGCGUCCCAUCGUAAUACCCGCGGUUAGCCAAUGUCCCGGUGGAGGAGCUCUCGCAGCCCCUUCUAAUCGCGAGUUUAUAAGCGAGCAUCGGAGCUGGCUACGAAGAUGUUGGACAUAUUCCGUGGCCUCAAGAGCCUCAUCAAGAUAUCGCACAUCCAAAUUGACUCCGCGGUUUUUCGACUGCACUACAGCUUCACGGUCAUAUUGCUGAUCGCGUUCUCGCUGAUAGUGACGACGCGCCAGUACGUCGGCAAUCCGAUCGACUGCAUACACAGUAAGGACCUGCCGGAGGACGUGCUCAACACCUACUGCUGGAUACACAGUACUUACACCAUCACGGCGGCUUACAAGAAAAAGGAAGGCUACGAGGUGCCUUUCCCCGGGGUCGACAACUCCAGGGCCUACCCGGAGAACGAGAGGAAGGAGUACAGGUACUAUCAGUGGGUCUGCUUCAUGCUAUUCCUCCAGGCGAUCCUGUUCUAUACGCCGCGAUGGCUGUGGAAGGGUUGGGAGGGUGGAAAGAUUCACGCUCUCAUGAUGGACCUCGACAUCGGACUCUGCUCCGAGGUGGAGAAGAAGCAGAAGAAGAAGAUGCUGUUGGAUUAUCUCUGGGAGAAUCUGCGCUUCCACAACUGGUGGGCGUACAGGUACUACCUCUGCGAGGUGCUCGCCCUCCUGAACGUCAUCGGCCAAAUGUUCCUGAUGAAUCGCUUCUUCGACGGUGCAUUUCUGACCUUCGGCAUCGAUGUCCUGCGCUUCCUCGAGUCGGACCAGGAAGAUCGCGUCGACCCCAUGAUUUACGUCUUCCCACGCAUGACCAAGUGCACCUUCUACAAGUACGGCGUUAGCGGUGAGGUGGAGCGUCACGACGCCGUCUGCAUACUGCCCCUCAACGUCGUCAACGAGAAGAUCUACGUGUUUCUCUGGUUCUGGUUCCUCUUCCUCGGGGUGCUUAGCCUCCUGACCGUCAUUUACAGGGUCAUCAUAAUCUUCUCGCCGCGCACGAGGGUUUACCUGCUGAGGCUGAGGUUUCGACUGGUGCGCCGCGAGGCCGUGGAUACGAUCGUACGAUGCAGCAAAGUCGGCGACUGGUUCCUCCUCUACAUGCUCGGGGAGAACCUCGACACCGUCAUCUACAGGGACGUGAUGCACGAGCUGGCCAAUCGGCUGGCCUCCAGGCAUCAUCAUAGCGUACCCGGCGUCAAGGGCGAACUACAGGAAGCCUGAUAAUGCGGUUUCGUCGCUCGAGCAUUGUUUUCGAGAGACUGGUGCAUCGGACGGUGGGCCUCCGGUCUCAACUGGAAGUAGGAGGUACACGAGGCUUCCGCUUACCUCCGUUGAUCCGCCUGGUUCUCGUAAUUGAAGCCGCAGAGCGCAUCUUGAUGAGAAAUUAAGCCCUAACGUAUCAUUACGCGAUUAUAAGUUAUAUUAAGGCGUUUCCGCCCUUUAUCCGAUCAUCGUGGAGGACAAGUGGAGGGAGAUGCUGCCAAGCGAACGAGGAGGAAGGCGCUUUCGCCGCCAAGGGAAACUGCAGGUGGAAGUAGCGGCGCAAGGCUGUGGAGGGACGCGACCGAUGGCUUUCCCUCGCUUUUCUUCUGUCCUUGUUCCUUAUCGUCACGCGAGCACGACAAGGACUGGCGGCCGCGCCGUUCGCAAGGCUCUAGUCGUGCCUGGACUUGCUUAAUUUAUAUUUUCAGACACGCUUUUUUCUCUCAUUCUUCUUUUAUUUUCUAUUUUUUUUUU